rnacentral:lncRNA from 1 species
CCCCCCCCCAAAAGGUGCAGACUGCGAACACACCUAAAAAAAAAGAAAAAAAAAAAGGGUAGGGUGGGUGACUAAUGUCUAUGGAAGCUCUGGUGCAGGUUCCGGACUGUGGGCCGCCUAAAGGAGGUUCCGGACUGUGGGCCGUCUAAAGGAGGUUCCGGACUGUGGGCCGCCUAAAGGAGGUUCCGGACUGUGGGCCGCCUAAAGGAGGUUCCGGACUGUGGGCCGCCUAAAGGAGGUUCCGGACUGUGGGCCGUCUCAGGAGGUUCCGGACUGUGGGCCGUCUAAAGGAGGUUCCGGACUGUGGGCCGUCUAAAGGAGGUUCCGGACUGUGGGCCGUCUCAGGAGUUUCCGGACUGUGGGUCGUCUCAGGAGGUUCGGGCUGUAGGCCUUCUCAGGAGGUUCCGGACUGUAAAAUGUCGCCGGAAGCUCUGGACUGGGAACUGUCGCCGGAAGCUCUGGACUGGGAACUGUCGCCGGAAGCUCUGGACUGGGAACUGUCGCCGGAAGCUCUGGACUGGGCAGGCGCACUGGAGGCCUGAUGCGUGGGGCUGGUACAGGUGGUGCCAGACUGGUGACACGCACCUCAGGGCAAAUGCGAGGAGCAGGUACUGGGUGUACCAGGCUGGAUAGACUCACUGGAGGCCGGAUACGUGGGGCAGGCACAGGAUAUACUGGGCCGUGGAGGCGCACCGGAGGUCUCGAGCGUAAAGCUGGCACAACCCAUCCUGGCUGGAUGCUUACUUUUGCCUGGCAAACGCGGGGCUGUGAAUACGCACGGGCGACAGUGCGCAGAGCCGGCGCAGGAUAUCCUGGACCGAGAAGGCGAACUGGAGACCAGGAGCACUGAGCUGGCACCAUCCUUCCUGCCUGAAUGCUCAACCUAGCUCGACAAAUGCGGGGCGUGGGCACAGAUCGCACAGGGCUGUGAAUGUGCACUGGCGACACUGUGCGCAUCACCGCAUAACACGGUGCUUGCUUCGUCACUCGCUCCCCACGGUAAGCACAGGGAGUUGGCUCAGGUCUCCACUCUGACUAUGCCAAUCUCCCCGUGUGCCCCCCUCAAGAAAAAUUGGGAGGCUGCCUCUCGCACUUGCCUCGUGGUUGGUAUAGUGCCUCGUAAUAUCGCCGCUCCGCUUUCGCUGCCUCAAUCUCCUCUUUAGGAUGGCGAUACUCCCCAGCCUGCCUCCAGGGUCCUUUCCCGUCCAGUAUCACCUCCCAAGUCCCGUGUGGCUCAGUUGGUAGAGCAUGGUGUUUGCGACGCCAGGGUUGUGGGUUCGAUUCCCACGGGGGACCAGUAUGGAGAAAAAAUUUAUGAAAUGUAUGCAUUCACUACUGUAAGUCGCUCUGGAUGAGAGCGUCUGCUAAAUUACUAAAAUGCAAAUGCAAAAGUCCACUGGUCCAUUUCACGCUGCUUGGUCCUUUGGUGGUGGGAUAUUCUGUCACAGUUGUCGUAGGAUGAAGCGGACCAAAGUGCAGCGUGAUUAUCGUUCCACAUAUUUUAUUGAACUGUGAAACUAUGCAAUACAUACAAAAUAAAUGGAAUAAACAAAAACAACAAACCGUGACGAAGAGUUAACAUACACGUACUCUAAAACUAUCUCCCACAAACCCAGGUGGGAAAAACACCUAUGAUGAUCUCCAAUUAAACACAACGAUG